UAUGCUCACAUGCAUAAUCACAAAAGGUGCCGACUUCCUUUACAUAAAACAUUACAAUACAUAUAUAUAUAUAUAUAUAUAUAUAUAAAUCAGAGACAACAAAACGGGUUCUAUUGUUCAACAUUUAUAUCAUAUUAGCCCAACUCAAACAUUACUACUUUCUUCCCCCAGCUCCAAUUCACUUCACUUUCACACCAAGCAAAGUUGAUCAGUACAUGCACUCUGGACAUCCAGGCACCAAGCUUUUUUA
rnacentral:lncRNA from 1 species